AUUGAACGCUGGCGGCAUGCCUUACACAUGCAAGUCGAACGGCAGCAUGAUCUAGCUUGCUCGAUUGAUGGCGAGUGGCGAACGGGUGAGUAAUACAUCGGAACGUGCCCUGUAGUGGGGGAUAACUAGUCGAAAGAUUAGCUAAUACCGCAUACGACCUGAGGGUGAAAGUGGGGGACCGCAAGGCCUCAUGCUAUAGGAGCGGCCGAUGUCUGAUUAGCUAGUUGGUGAGGUAAAGGCUCACCAAGGCGACGAUCAGUAGCUGGUCUGAGAGGACGAUCAGCCACACUGGGACUGAGACACGGCCCAGAAUCCUACGGGAGGCAGCAGUGGGGAAUUUUGGACAAUGGGCGAAAGCCUGAUCCAGCAAUGCCGCGUGUGUGAAGAAGGCCUUCGGGUUGUAAAGCACUUUUGUCCGGAAAGAAAUGGCUCUGGUUAAUACCUGGGGUCGAUGACGGUACCGGAAGAAUAAGGACCGGCUAACUACGUG
rnacentral:rRNA from 1 species